CAUCCUUGUCGUCCGUAAUCCACCUUCAUCCCAAUCUGGAUUCCUUCUCAGCCACAUCAAGUUAACAACCGCAUCCUUAUCCCACCACGUCUUCAUCCUUAUCUGCACUCGAAACAGGGGAGGAAAGAGGGAGUUUGCAGCCUAUAAAAAGCCCAGACGUGAACAGAGGGGGUAUUCUCUUUUGGAACCAUUCAAAGGGAUCCGGUGGAUCCCAUUCAUCCUUCGGAGGAGUUCUCACGGGAGACAGAGAAGGGAGGAGAGAGCCGACGGGAGGAAGGAGCCAAUCAUCAUGAAGUCCCCCUGCAGUGCAG
rnacentral:lncRNA from 1 species